CCUACGGGGGGCAGCAGUGAGGAAUAUUGGUCAAUGGACGAGAGUCUGAACCAGCCAAGUAGCGUGAAGGAUGACUGCCCUAUGGGUUGUAAACUUCUUUUAUAAAGGAAUAAAACGAGGCACGUGUGCCUUUUUGCAUGUACUUUAUGAAUAAGGAUCGGCUAACUCCGUGCCAGCAGCCGCGGUAAUACGGAGGAUCCGAGCGUUAUCCGGAUUUAGUGGGUUUAAAGGGAGCGUAGAUGGGUUUUUAAGUCAGUUGUGAAAGUUUGCGGCUCAACCGUAAAAUUGCAAUUGAUACUGGCAUUCUUGAGUACAGUUGAGGUAGGCGGAAUUCGUGGUGUAGCGGUGAAAUGCUUAGAUAUCACGAAGAACCCCGAUUGCGAAGGCAGCUUACUAAGCUGUGACUGACAUUGAUGCUCGAAAGUGUGGGUAUCAAACAGGAUUAGAUACCCCUGUAGUC
rnacentral:rRNA from 1 species